CCUACGGGUGGCAGCAGUGAGGAAUAUUGGACAAUGGGAGAGAUCCUGAACCAGCCAAGCCGCGUGAGGGAAGACGGCCCUAUGGGUUGUAAACCUCUUUUGUCGGAGAACAAAACCCGGGACGUGUCCCGGACUGCGUGUAUCCGAAGAAAAAGCAUCGGCGAACUCCGUGCCAGCAGCCGCGGUAAUAGGGAGGAUGCGAGCGUUAUCCGGAUUUAUUGGGGUUAAGGGGUGCGUAGGCGGUCCGUUAAGUCCGCGGGAAAAGUGGGGGGCUAAACCCCGUCGAGCCGUUGAAACUGGGUGGCUGGAGUUGGCGAGAAGUAGGCGGAAUGCACGGUGUAGCGGUGAAAUGCGUAGAUAUCACGCAGAACACCGAUUGCGAAGGCGGCGUGCCGGCGCCAGACUGACGCUGAGGCACGAAAGCGUGGGGAGCGAACAGGAUUAGAUACCCGAGUAGUC
rnacentral:rRNA from 1 species